rnacentral:rRNA from 1 species
UAGGGAAUCUUCGGCAAUGGACGGAAGUCUGACCGAGCAACGCCGCGUGAGUGAAGAAGGUUUUCGGAUCGUAAAGCUCUGUUGUUAGAGAAGAACGUUGGUAGGAGUGGAAAAUCUACCAAGUGACGGUAACUAACCAGAAAGGGACGGCUAACUACGUGCCAGCAGCCGCGGUAAUACGUAGGUCCCGAGCGUUGUCCGGAUUUAUUGGGCGUAAAGCGAGCGCAGGCGGUUCUUUAAGUCUGAAGUUAAAGGCAGUGGCUUAACCAUUGUAUGCGUUGGAAACUGGAGGACGUGAGUGCGGAAGGGGAGGGUGGAAUUCCAUGGGUAGCGGUGAAAUGCGUAGAUAUAUGGAGGAACACCGGUGGCGAAAGCGGCUCGCUGGUCUGUAACUGACGCUGAGGCUCGAAAGCGUGGGGAGCAAACAGG